UGGGAUAGCACAGUUGGUAGAGCAUCAGAUUCUUAAUCUCGGGAUUGUGAGUUCGAGCCCCACACGGGACAA
rnacentral:tRNA from 1 species